rnacentral:rRNA from 1 species
GUAGGGAAUAUUGGGCAAUGGAUGCAAGUCUGACCCAGCCAUCCCGCGUGCCGGAAGAAGGCCCUCAGGGUUAUAAACGGCUUUUGACGGUGAAGAAUCGACAUGAUGCGUCCUGUUUUGACGGUAGCCGUUGAAUAAGCACCGGCUAACUCCGUGCCAGCAGCCGCGGUAAUACGGAGGGUGCGAGCGUUGUCCGGAUUUAUUGGGUUUAAAGGGUGCGUAGGCUGGAAGGUCAGUCAGCGGUGAAAAGCUAUCGCUUAACGAUAGUCUUGGCGCAGAUACUUCCUUUCUUGGAUGAGGAGGAGGCCACUGGAACGGAUGGUGUAGCGGUGAAAUGCAUAGAUAUCAUCCAGAACACCGAUUGCGAAGGCAGGUGGCUGUACCUUAAUCGACGCUGAUGCACGAAAGCAUGGGGAGCAAACAGGAUUAGAUACCCGUGUAGUCC